CUCCUGACGCCCAUUCCAGGGUUUCCCCAGGCAACUGGGAAGACCAUCCACGGUGAGGCCUGCAAUCUCGGCUUCUUGCUGAUCAGUCAGCAAUGGAAACCUGGUGGUCAGUGAGGAAACCAAGGCACAGAGCGGUAGCUUACAACGCAUGACAGCUUCUUUGACUUGGCGAAAGCCACCAUCAGGACCCCUGCCAUCGACGUAGUACAUGAAUCGGAGCUCAGAUGGUUCUGGAACAAAGAUUUAGACAACGAGAGACAGUGUUAAGCCCUCAGCACCGUGGUUUCCAGGCUGGGAAAGCUAGCUGAGCAGCCUUGGAAAACCUCUGAGCCAAAAGGAUCAAGAUCUGGCUAAGCUGACGCAGGCCUCCUCUCCUCACUCCACCACGCGUCCAGGCCCUGAAGUCAGGUCAGGAGUCCCCCCAUCAGCCUUCCUGCGUCUCUCUCUGAGUUGGGACCAGGCAGGCCUCCCACCAUGCCCUAUGGAGACUGAGCACUACACUCAGGGACACAGCAGAGUCGCGAGUCCGGUUCCACUCACCAGCCAUCUUGCCUAGAGGCUUCUUAGGCCGAGAGCCAGGAGCUGGGAGGGAGGUCGAUGAUGCCAUAGCGUGGGGGUCAAAACGAGCCCCGUGAGACCAGGCAUCGGUAAAGGGGGAGGAGGGAGAAGACCCAGUCUUGACCUCAUGGAGCAGCCAUCCUACAGAGGGCAGAGAGAGAGAAUCACAAAGGCUGCACUUACCCUGCUCUCAUUCCCCGUGGAUGAGCUCUGGGAAGUUCUGUUUCUCUCCUAAUGCCUGACAGAGGCUUCCUCUCUAAAUGGGUCCUUCAUUCCUCAUGAGAUUACGGCCAGACAUGACUGUGAUUGGAGCUGGGUUCUAGAUAAAGCCAGAGCUGUGUAGUGUGGUCAGACUUACAGGGUAUGAGCUCAGCAUGACCAGCUGAGGGACUGUUCUCUGCUCCACCUGGCCAGGAGGAUAUUCAGGAUCUGGGGAAGGGCAGCUGUCAGGCAGCUCUUUAGAAGGACUUCCUACGUAAGGCCUGAAAUGGUAGAAGAAGGACAGUUGCUAUUUGGACAAAUAAUUAUGUAUCCAGAUAGACAGAAGCUGAACAGUAGAAAGCGAGCACAUGCAGGAAAUCUUGGGAGACUUUUCCUCCAAGUCUGCCUCCCCCUGAAUAACUCCAUCCGUAGACCCAUCGCUCCUGCAGCCAUCAGCUCAGGAAGGUCCUGUCAGACAGUGGUGAAGACUGCAGACUGCAGGUAGAGUGCCUGAUUCUCAUCUCUGGUUAACCGUGGCCUUUGGCCAUCUUACUACACUCCAGUUUCUCCAUCCAUGAAAUGGAAGUACUAACGCCUCCUUCUCAGCAUUAUUGUGAAGAUUAAAUGAAAUAAUUUAUGUAAAGUCCUAAUGGUGCCUGGCAUGUAAUAAAUGCUUAGAAAAUGUGG